UACGUAGGGUGCAAGCGUUAAUCGGAAUUACUGGGCGUAAAGCGUGCGCAGGCGGCUUUGCAAGACAGAUGUGAAAUCCCCGGGCUCAACCUGGGAACUGCAUUUGUGACUGCAUGGCUUGAGUGCGGCAGAGGGGGAUGGAAUUCCGCGUGUAGCAGUGAAAUGCGUAGAUAUGCGGAGGAACACCGAUGGCGAAGGCAAUCCCCUGGGCCUGCACUGACGCUGAGACGCGAAAGCGUGGGGAGCAAACAGG
rnacentral:rRNA from 1 species